rnacentral:rRNA from 1 species
GACGAACGCUGGCGGCGUGCCUAAUACAUGCAAGUCGAGCGAAUCAAUAGGAGCUUGCUCCUGUUGGUUAGCGGCGGACGGGUGAGUAACACGUGGGCAACCUGCCUGUAAGACUGGGAUAACACCGGGAAACCGGUGCUAAUACCGGAUAAUCCUUUUCCUCUCAUGAGGAAAAGCUGAAAGUCGGUUUCGGCUGACACUUACAGAUGGGCCCGCGCCGCAUUAGCUAGUUGGUGAGGUAACGGCUCACCAAGGCAACGAUGCAUAGCCGACCUGAGAGGGUGAUCGGCCACACUGGGACUGAGCCACGGCCCAGACUCCUACGGGAGGCAGCAGUAGGGAAUCUUCCGCAAUGGACGAAAGUCUGACGGAGCAACGCCGCGUGAGUGAUGAAGGCUUUCGGGUCGUAAAACUCUGUUGUUAGGGAAGAACAAGUACAAGAGUAACUGCUCGUACCUUGACGGUACCUAACCAGAAAGCCACGGCUAACUACGUGCCAGCCGCCGCCGUAAUAC